GGUAGGAUGGCUGAGAGUUCAAGCGGUGGACUGUAACCCCACAAACAGAGGUUUAAAUCCUCUUUCUAUCA
rnacentral:tRNA from 1 species